UGUUUACAAGGUGCACAAGUCACUUCCUGG
rnacentral:piRNA from 1 species